UACGUAGGGGGCAAGCGUUGUCCGGAAUCAUUGGGCGUAAGGCGCGUGUAGGCGGUCCGGUAAGUCGGCUGUGAAAGUCCAGGGCUCAACCCUGGGAUGCCGGUCGAUACUGCCGGACUAGAGUUCGGAAGAGGCGAGUGGAAUUCCCGGUGUAGCGGUGAAAUGCGCAGAUAUCGGGAGGAACACCAAUGGCGAAGGCAGCUCGCUGGGACGUUACUGACGCUGAGACGCGAAAGCGUGGGGAGCAAACAGG
rnacentral:rRNA from 1 species